UACGUAUGGUGCGAACGUUGUUCGGAAUUACUGGGCAUAAAGAGCACGUAGGCGGUUGAGCAAGUCCGUUGUGAAAUCCCCCGGCUUAACCGGGGAACUGCAGCGGAUACUACUUGACUUGAGUGCAGGAGGGGAGAGUGGAAUUCCAGGUGGAGCGGUGAAAUGCGUAGAUAUCUGGAGGAACGCCGGUGGCGAAAGCGACUCUCUGGUCUGUUACUGACGCUGAGGUGCGAAAGCUAGGGGAGCAAACGGG
rnacentral:rRNA from 1 species